rnacentral:rRNA from 1 species
AGCGAACGCUGGCGGCAGGCUUAACACAUGCAAGUCGAGCGGGCGUAGCAAUACGUCAGCGGCAGACGGGUGAGUAACACGUGGGAACGUACCUUUUGGUUCGGAACAACACAGGGAAACUUGUGCUAAUACCGAAUAAGCCCUUACGGGGAAAGAUUUAUCGCCGAAAGAUCGGCCCGCGUCUGAUUAGCUUGUUGGUGAGGUAACGGCUCACCAAGGCGACGAUCAGUAGCUGGCUGAGAGGAUGAUCAGCCACACUGGGACUGAGACACGGCCCAGACUCCUACGGGAGGCAGCAGUGGGGAAUAUUGGACAAUGGGGGCAACCCUGAUCCAGCCAUGCCGCGUGAGUGAUGAAGGCCCUAAGGGUUGUAAAGCUCUUUUGUGCGGGAAGAUAAUGACGGUACCGGUGGAAGAAGCACCGGCUAAACUCUGUGCCAGCAGCCGCAGUAA